CUCUUCUCCCCUGUCUACCGAUAUAUGUAGCUUUGGGGCGCCGCCCGGUCUUCCCCGGGGAAGGCUGACCCCUUCUCGUGCCCGCCAAAGGCCUCAUUUAACCCUGUGAUCAGUGUCGUCCGAGUAAAAACAAUCGUUAAAACUUUCAACAACGGAUCUCUUGGUUCCGGCGUCGAUGAAGAACGCAGCGAAAUGCGAAAAGUAAUGUGAAUUGCAGAAUUCCGCGAAUCAUCGAAUCUUUGAACGCACAUUGCGCCCUUUGGUAUUCCGAAGGGCAUGCCUGUUCGAGCGUCAUUGCACCCCUCAAGCACUGCUUGGUAUUGGGCUUCGCCCCUGCGGCGGGCCCGGAUUCUAGUGGCGGUCCAGCGAGACUUCAAGCGUAGCAAGAUUAUCACAUCCCGCUUAGCAAGCCUUUUCGCUGCGUGCCGGCCAGACAACCCUAUACCAUUCCAAUGAUUGACCUCGGAUCAGGUAGGGAUACCCGCUGAACUUAAGCAUAUCAAUA
rnacentral:sRNA from 1 species